rnacentral:rRNA from 1 species
AUGGUCUCUACAGAUAUUUUAGAUUUAUCUAUUUCAUGCAUCCUUAAAGAUAAAAAGAAUAAGGUGGAAUGGAGAUUUAUUUCUGUUUAUGGGCCAGCUUAUGACAGACUCAAACUAGAGUUCUUAAAUGAGUUACAUAAUAUUCUUGACACAUGGUUGGGGCCCACAAUUAUAGGGGGUGACUUUAACCUGGUCAGAAGUAGUGAUGAGAAAAGUACUGGUGUUGUUAACAUGCAUUGGGUGACCUUGUUCAAUGACUGGGUUAACAAAUAUGGCUUGAUUGAGCUUAAGAAUUCUAGUAGGAAGUUUACUUGGGCCAAUAACCAGGAUAAUCUGGUUAUGGCCAACAUUGAUAAAGUUUUCAUGUCCACAUGCUGGGAAUCUAUCUUCCCAGCUGUUCAACUUAAAGCUCUUCCUAGAGUGGGUAGUGAUCACACCCCCCUAGUGGUGGACACUGGGGCUAUCCAACCACCUAAAAACAAACAAUUUAGGUUUGAAAAAUGGUGGUUAGGGGUAGAAGGUUUUGAAGACAUGGUGAAGAAAUGUCGGAAUUCUCCAUGCUCUAUCAAGGACCCUAUGAAUAGGUGGCAGUAUAAAUUUAGAUUGCUUAGGAGAGUAUGUGAAGGCUGGAAUGCCAAUUAUGAGGCUGCCCAGAACAGAGAGAAACAGCAGCUGGUUCCUGAAUAUAAUAUUGUAGAUAUAGAAUCUGAGAGUAAAAUCCUCUCCCCUUCUUCUAAAAGUAAGAUGGACAAGAUUGCCUCUGAGCUCCAAAAAAUAUGGAGACUAGAGGAAAUCAAGUCCAGACACAGAUCCAGGGAUAGAAACAUUUUAGAGGGAGGAAGAAACACUGCUUACUUUCAUGCUAUUGCUAACCAUAGGAGGAGGAAGAAGCAGAUAGACCUGCUUGUGGGACCAGAUGGCCCUGUAGAAUCAACUAGUGAUAUGAUGGAUAUUGCUGUUGAUUACUACAAAACCCUAUUUGGCAAGGAAGAAACCCUAGAUAUUUCUUUGGAUGAAGAUUUUUGGACCCUUCUGAAAGAGUUUCUGAGGAUCAAAAUAAGAUCCUGGAAACUGAUAUCACUGAAGAAAAUGUGA